AUGUCUUGGAUCGUGACCUUUCUCUCUCUUCUGGUGUCGGUCCCUCUUCUGAUGGUGUUGGCUUCCCUUCUGCAGGUGUUGGCUUCUCUUCUGGUGUUGGGUGCUCCUCUGUCUUAGAUCGUGACCUUUCUCUCUCUUCUGGUGUCGGUCCCUCUUCUGAUGGUGUUGGCUUCCCUUCUGCAGGUGUUGGCUUCUCUUCUGGUGUUGGGUGCUCCUCUGUCUCAGCGGGUGGUGUCUUUUCUUUCUUGCCUGGUGUUGGUGGC